rnacentral:rRNA from 1 species
AUAAUGACUCCCGGCAACGGAUAUCUCGGCUCUUGCAUCGAUGAAGAACGUAGCGAAAUGCGAUACUUGGUGUGAAUUGCAGAAUCCCGUGAACCAUCGAGUCUUUGAACGCAAGUUGCGCCCCGACGCCUUUAGGCUGAGGGCACGUCUGCCUGGGUGUCACAC